UACGACUACAUAUCAGGCAUAUCAAUAAGCGGAGGAAAAGAAACUAACUAGGAUUCCCUCAGUAACGGCGAGUGAAGCGGGAAGAGCUCAAAUUUGAAAUCUUCAAGGUUUACCUUGACGAAUUGUAGUUUAAAGAAGUGUUUUCUGUUGAGUUUCGGUAGAAGUUCUUUGGAAUAGGACAUCAUAGAGGGUGAGAAUCCCGUAUUUGACCAUUAUUUCCAGCUUUGUGAUACACUUUCAAAGAGUCGGAUUGUUUGGGAAUGCAGUCCAAAAUGGGUGGUAAAUUUCAUCUAAAGCUAAAUAUUGGCGAGAGACCGAUAGCGAACAAGUACCGUGAGGGAAGAUGAAAAGAACUUUGAAAAGAGAGUUAAACAGUACGUGAAAUUGUCAAAAGGGAAGCGUUUGACACCAGUGUUGUUUUCUCGAAAAUCAAUUAAAAAGAGUUGGAUUUUGUGUUGUAUUGACCUUAACAGCUUGCUUCACUCUUUUCCAGCUUUUUUUAAUGCACUUUUCGUUUAACAAGUCAACAUCAGUUUCUUUUGUUGUAAAAGGGUCAUUGGAAGGUGGCUUUCUCUUCGGAGAAAGUGUUUAUAGCCUUUGAUCUCUGCAAUCGGAGAGACUGAGGUCUGCAGCGUAGAUCCUUCGGGGUUAGAUACAUUUGUGCUAAGCUACAGCUUUUCAUAGACAACUUGUUGACUAUGUUUAGUCUUGUGACUUACCCGCUUAUGCUAUUUUACCUACGCUUAGGAUGUUGAGCGCAUGUCUCUCUCU
rnacentral:rRNA from 1 species